rnacentral:tRNA from 1 species
GCGGGUGUAGUUCAAUGGUAGAAUAUCAGUUUUCCAAACUGAAUACAGGAGUCCGAUUCUCCUCACCCGCUCCA